rnacentral:piRNA from 1 species
CGAGACCUAUGAUGACCAUUACAGUGUGGUUU